UCGGGUGACAGGGAGACAGGUGGUGCAUGGUUGUCGUCAGCUCGUGUCGUGAGAUGUUCGGGUUAAGUCCCGCAACGAGCGCAACCCUACGUUUAGUUGCUAACGCGUGAAGGCGAGCACUCUAGACGAACUGCCGUUGACAAAACGGAGGAAGGUGGGGAUGACGUCAAAUCAUCAUGCCCCUUAUGUUCUGGGCUACACACGUGCUACAAUGGCCGGUACAGACGGACGCAAAGCCGCGAGGUGGAGCAAAUCCUAAAAAGCCGGUCUCAGUUCGGAUUGCAGGCUGCAAUUCGCCUGCAUGAAGUUGGAGUUGCUAGUAAACGCAGGUCAGCCAUACUGCGUUGAAUACGUUCCCGGGGCUU
rnacentral:rRNA from 1 species